CUCACAGUAUGUGCCCUCUGGUGGAAAAGCAAAAGCUUCACAGAGAGGGAAUUAAUGCAGAUCAGCCCAUGCUCUGCUGAGCUACUUCAUUCCACAAGGUCAGCAGCCAUCUGGCCAGGGAGAGCUUUGCUGGAGAGCAGCUGACACUUGCAGAGGUGUUCAGACAGGAUUCACCACAGUGGGCAAAGGACAAACCCACGUUAUAAACAUCACUGCUCCACUCACACAAUUGUUACAGAAGAACUUCUCUGAAAUUUUCAUCCCUAGUGGGAGAUUUCUAAAACUCUUGUAUGUUUUAUACCAAUAUCCAUCUAUCCACAAAGGUAGGAACGACAGAAGCACAGAUCAAAGGUGAGAUGGUCAAGAGCCUAAAAGUAACGAUUCUCAUAUCCUGUUUGUAGCUGAGGACCCAUGUGAGAAGCGUGUACUCUUCAAGUUUUUGUUCCAACAAGUGUAGUUCCAAGUGGAAGCUCACUCCAAAGAACUAUGAGAGUCGAAGACACUGCUGACACGAGGCAUCAACCUCCCAGUGCCUGCUUUCAAGUCAGAGACAUGGAGCAUGAGGCUUGGCAUCUGGAAGAAGAGCUGAUGCGGCUGAUCUGAACAGACCUCGUGGCCUCUGUGCUUCCAGCUGCCCUCUCAAAUCCCUCAGCUCCCUUUCCACUGUCAAAAGUGCUUGUGUAGCUGAACAGCUGAACCAGGAAUUGAUCCAGCA